rnacentral:tRNA from 3 species
CGGGGUGUAGCGCAGCUUGGUAGCGCAUCCGCUUUGGGAGCGGAAGGUCGCACGUUCGAAUCGUGUCACCCCGA